GAUAAAUUAUAAAUGGGGAGUGAAGGUAAAUGUGAAAGUAAACUGGAACAAGAAUAUUAAAUAAAAUAUGUUUUUGUAACUUUGGACUACAUUUAACUUGCAAUUAUGUACCAUUUACUACACUGGAGGUAGUACAGACUUGCAGUCCCGUACCAUUUCAACACUGGAAGAAGUACGUUUGUCUGAGCGAAGCCAAUUGGAAGCAUGUACCUCUUAGUGAAGCUGAUUGGGAACACAUACCCUCUGUCGUGUUGCGAAGCCGAUUGGAAGCAGUACAUAUAUACCUCUGUCUGCUAAAGCUAAUUAGAAGCAGUACCCCUGGCAGAGUGGUACCAAUUAGAAGCAGUAACUCUGAGCGAAGCCAAUUGGAAGCAUGUACCUCUGCAAAAUUUUGUUAAACACUUUUCAACAAAUUUUAUUUAGCAUUCUUUUUAAGAUCUACUUUUAUACCUUCUUUCAUUUUUAAUUUAUUAUUAUUCCCCAUGUUGACAUUGUGAAGUCAAAUUAUCACUUUACCAAUUUGCACUCUUCUGUAGUUCUUAUUCUGUUGAAGGUGCUGUAGAAAUUAAAACAUUUCAAUAUAGUUUGAUACUCCAACAAUCCCUAAAGUAUUGUUAUAUUAAGGGCUUUAGAAUUAUCAUAAUCUUUUAUAGACCAUUUAAAUACAAAAAAAAAUUAUAUGCAUUUUGCUGAUUAUUUAUUUUCCUGGUAAUUUCACUUGAAGUAACUUGAAAUGUAAAAUACAAUAUUAAGUACUUUUUUGUUGAGCCUUUGACCUUAGUCAAAAAAGGGAUCAUAAGAUAGUGUCAUGAAAUGAACUUUGUAAAAGAAAAUUCUGUAUUUCGUAUUUUACUUUUAAAUCGACUUGGUUUUUUCUCCUAGGAAACUUUACAUUGACUCUUUGGUUCAAGUUUUUAAAAUUUAAGAACUUUCUUUAACUAUCCUGGAUUUGCACCAAACUUGGACAGAAGCUUGUUUAUGAUCUAAAGCUAGUAUCUAGAAGGAAAUUUGGUUAAAACUUUUUGUUCCUGUUUUUCUGUAUUUUACUUAUAAAUGGACUUAGUUUUUCUUACAGUUAACAUUAUAUAAACUCUGCAGUUAAAGUAUUUAAAACAUUUAUUAGAUUCAUAAACUAUCGUGAAUUUUUACCAAACUUGGACAGACGCUUGUUACAAUUAAGGGGGCUCACAGGUCCAAAUCAAUUCUUUUAUUUAAUACAGGAUUUCCCUAUAUUUUCCUAUAAAUGAACUUUAUCUUAAACUUAAUAAAAAAAUUAAAUAAAAACAUGGGAUCACUGUUCAUUUACGCUCAAGAUCUGCCUUCGAAAAAAGCAUACCUUUUUGUUAAUGUCCUUUUUUUCUGUUGAACUAAUAGGAGAAAAAGCGGUAAUAUCAAAAUAAAAAAAGAACUAAAUUACAUCAAUCGCUUAAAUUUUACAAUUAUUUAGUUUAUGUACAGCCUAUAUUCCAAAACAACAUUAAAAAAUAUAGGUCACCAAUGAGUUAAAAAAGAUAUUUCAAUUUUAAAGCCAAAAAUAGCAUUUUUGCACCAAAGGGAGAUAAUUUGGAGCUUUUUCAAUGAUUACAUUUUAAGUCACCUGGGAGAAACACGAUUUGAUUUUCUGAAAAUCUUAAACCCGCAGGCCUCUUUAAAUGAUAGUAUUGAAAGAAAUACUUUUUAUUAAAUUUUUCAUUUUUGUUGUGUCUGCGAUUAACAGCAAAAGUAGGCAAAACACUGGGUUCUGCCAAACUCUUACCAAUUUUUUUCUUAAAAUAUUUACUUUUGUAAAAGUUUUUUUUUAAAUAUCAGAUGUAUACUUGCUAAAAUUGACUAUUAUUUAGAGUUUUGUAAAUAAAAAAAAUAUGUAAACUUAGCUCUAGAUAAUAAGUUUUGAGGGUGGGAGAAAUCAUAGGUUACUUCAAUUUAUUAGGUGAUUUUUUUUAAAAACAGGAUUUUUUAAAAGUGCAUCUGAUAUUUUUUAUAUAUAUUAUUAUUUUCAAAAGCAAAUGGACAAUCAGAUAGCGAGGAGAGCCACCUUGGCAGUCAGGAAAGCAGCUCUAAGGAAGAUGGCCAAUUAAAUCUUCAACCAAGUCUGAGGCCUUACUAUGAAGAAUCAGCGAUUAUGAAUUGACAGUAUUUUUCGUGGUGUUGGGAGUAAGACUUGGAUAUCUGAUAUUGUUAACAUGUUGGUUAGCAUCACAGUGUUUCCAUAGGGUUACUUGCUGGAAUACCAAUUAGAGCUGUUUAAAGUCUAAAGUGUUACUGUUGCUGCCUUGUAUGGUAAAAUCUUCAGACAAUAACAUACAAACAAUCGGAUGAACUGUUGCUAUCUCUAUUGUUAGAAUCCGUAGACAGUUGUCUUAUAAG